GUGGAUCAGGAUAUACUGCAUAGAAACGAAUACCCUAGCACUGAAGUAGCUGCAUUGUUAUUAAACGGCACAAACAAUUAGGUACCUUUCAAGGCUUUUUAUUCAUAAAAUAUGCAGUAGCGCAUACACGAAUGCAGAGCUUGGGCUUCCUGUGGUCUGGCUUGCCAGGCUUUUCGGAGGCGAGGGUAAUUUAGCCUGUGAGACAAAUCUAAGUUUUUAGUAACAACUUUUUAUCAGGGAUUUUUCAAAAGAUUAACGACUGAAAUGAAGAAGAAAGCCAUUGGUAAACUUGGUGUCCGGAAUAAAACUUUACAAGUUAAUCCUCUACCAUUCUGGACUAUGAUCAAAAACGCCGCAAAAAUCGCACCUCAAAUCGUGGCAAAAACAGCUGGUUUGUGUGACUUUGCCCACACAGGGAACCCAAGCUUUGUUUUUGUGUCAGUACAUUUAAUACAGCAAAUGUAAGGUGACUAAUACUAAAUAAAAGGCCUUUCUCGUUUCCUUCUUUUCA